AAUAUGACAUAAAACAACACACGAUAUAUCCGUUCCUCUCCCACAUUACAGUAUUGUCCACCUAAGAAGAACGUGUUGUCAACAAAACACAGAAACCAACAUGGAUUUUAAAAAGACAGCUAAAAGUCUGUGGAAUAACCAGUUUGUUUGGACAUUGGGUAAAAGUUGGGGUGUAUUCUUAGUAGCUAUUUUUGUAGCCAGAGAGAUGGCAAAUGCAGAAGCAGAACAAGCUAUCGAGGCAGCAGCCCAGAAAGUCAUUCCAACUUAAAUGUUUUACAGAUUGUGGAUCGUAGAACAACCAGUCCAAAGACACCACUACUGCCUGUGAUAUGUAGAAGGGACAGAUUUGAAAAGAAAAUUGAAAAAUUAAAGAAUCCGUUUUUUU